rnacentral:lncRNA from 1 species
AUGACUACAGAAAAUCUCCUGAAGGCUGACUGUGCUCCAGGAAAAAUCUCCUCUCUCUCCGGCUUACUGAGGGUGCUGUGCUGUGCCUCUGACCCUGGGCACUUGGUGGAGCCUGAACGUUCCCCCUCUAAAACUAGUGGUUUCAUCCAAGAUGGUGGUAGUGUGCUUAUAGAUUCUCAAAACAAUAACACAUCGCAAGUCAAUCCUCAUGUCGGAGACGAAGACCUAGCAUGUUCAGCUCCCACCUCGCCACCAUGUGACACCCCUGUUGGGUCAGUGUUUGCAGAGAGGACUCCUUUGUCUCAUGUGGAUACAGGACCAGCACUGUUUACGACCCCCAUUAUAACUGGACCAUCACUGUUUACGAUCCCCAUUAUAACUGGACCAUCACUGUUUACGACCCCCAUUAUAACUGGACCAUCACUGUUUACGACCCCUAUUAUAACUGGACCAUCACUGUUUACGACCCCUAUUAUAACUGGACCAUCACUGUUUACGACCCCCAUUAUAACUGGACCAUCACUGUUUACGACCCCCAUUGUAACUGGACCGUCACUGUUUACGACCCCCUUUUAUCAGGCAACAGAUUUGAAUGAGUCCAAAUACGCAGAAACAAAUCAAGAAACGACUCAAGGCGGCGGUUACAACGUUUUGGAGGCACUUGACCAAAGCAGCGAUGCCUCAGUGGAGGAUAUCCAGCAGCUAGAAAUGCUAUCCGACGCUACUCUGAACACUGCAUGUGGAUCAGCUCCUCACCAGGACCAAGAGCGCGUUCAUCUGCUGGAGCCAAGCACUAGUGCCUCGGAGACUGUCCUGGGCACACCGACAGCCACAAGGCUUCCCACAGGCAGGGUAGCAGCCCACGUUAAAAUCUUCAGCAGACUUAACUUCAGAUCCCUAACACCAAAAGCAUUCCGAUCUCCUAUUCAUUUUCAGAGGACCCCUGUUUACAAGUAUGUGAAGAGGAUAAACUCAUACAUUGAGAGGGGUUGUAUGGACAGGGUUAGCUUCAGAGGGGCUAAACAAUAG